GAUGAACGCUGGCGGUAUGCCUAACACAUGCAAGUCGAACGAGCUCUUCGGAGCUAGUGGCGGACGGGUGAGUAACGCGUGAGAAUCUGCCUUCAGGAUGGGGACAACAGUUGGAAACGAUUGCUAAACCCAAUGUGCCGCAAGGUGAAAUAUUAAUAGCCUGAAGAGGAGCUCGAGUCCGAUUAGUUAGUUGGUGGGGUAAAGGCCUACCAAGGCAGCGAUCGGUAGCUGGUCUGAGAGGAUGAGCAGCCACACUGGGACUGAGACACGGCCCAGACUCCUACGGGAGGCAGCAGUGGGGAAUUUUCCGCAAUGGGCGAAAGCCUGACGGAGCAAUACCGCGUGAGGGAGGAAGGUUUUUGGAUUGUAAACCUCUUUUGUUAAGGAAGAAGAAAGUGACGGUACUUAACGAAUAAGCAUCGGCUAACUCCGUGCCAGCCGCCGCGGUAA
rnacentral:rRNA from 1 species